CCUUUCUUUGCAAGUCUAAGAUAAAAGUCAGCUCUGAUCUCUGGACUGCUCAGGACUCCCCAGUUCAGCUCUCAACAUGAGGUUCCCUGCUCAGCUCCUGGGGCUGCUAAUGCUCUGGGUCCCAGGAUCCAGUGGGGAUGUUGUGAUGACCCAGACUCCACUCUCUCUGCCCAUCAUCCCUGGAGAGACGGUCUCUAUCUCCUGCAAGUCUAGUCAGAGCCUCCUACACAGUGAUGGAAACACCUAUCUGCACUGGUUGCAGCAGAAGCCAGGUCAGGGACCACAAGGCUUGAUAUACGUGGUUUCUAACAGGGUCUCUGGAGUCCCAGAUAGGUUCAGUGGCAGCGGGGCAGGGACAGAUUUCACACUCAAAAUCAGCAGGGUGGAGCCUGAGGAUGUUGGAAUUUAUUACUGUGUACAAGGUACACACAUUCCUCGCACAGUGAUACAGCCCUGAACACAAACCUCCCCGCCUGGAGUGGCCCAGCUGCCCUCAUGUGCUCUCUGUGUGGGGAGCAGAACAGCAGCCCCUCCUGUGUAAGAGGAAGGUGCUGGAGAGCUCAGGGCACUAGGUGGCUGCUGUCUGUGUCACAGGUGCCCUGCCCACAGCUCAGGCUCCAGCCAUCUGUGGCCCUGUCAGCUGCAGCAGCAUUAGUCUAGAAUCUAAGGCGGAAGGACAGAGUGGUCUUAUCAGGGUGAGGGGACAUGAUCAUGUGAUGAUUCAUAAAUGGAACUGAAUGAAAGCUCAUCCUAAUCUUUCCUCCCUCCUUAUAUUUGCUAAUUCAAAUUAAUCCAUGUAAAUGACAGAAAUGAACAUGUUGAGUAUAUCUUGAGCUUUAUCAGUGUUUUUUUUUAUCCUGAUAGGAUAUUGACUAAUACUCAAAAAUGGUAUUUUCCCACUUUCACAACUCCCUACUUUUCAUGUUUACUAUCUGUCUGCUCACUGUAAAUAUCAGAGAGGUAGCAUUCUACACAUGCCAUCCUUAAGAGGAGCGGUCUGAGGACACUUGGGAAAAAUCUUGGUUGCUGAGAAUUCAAAUAG